GGUUUUGGGUUCGCUCGUAGUUUACUUAUUGCCAUCAGAUGGCGCUUAAGAGGCUCGACGGUCCCACCGAGAGUUGAAUGGGAUCCCAGCGUGAUCUGGCACACGGGCGGGAAGGGAGCGCAACACACGUCCUGGACGAGGUUUGAGCCAAAAGCACCGUGCUGCCCGACUUUCAUCGACAUUCCUUCUCCUGCCCGGCCCGCAGGACCGAGCCAACCGAUUCGCGGUGCGUAAUUACGCAUCGGGACGACACACAUCGGCUGUGCUUUUCGGCGUGGAAACCCCGCGGACAAAGAAAGGCAGGCGGGCUGUAGUAUAAGCUACUUGAGAAGAGAGGACUACAGUUCGAGGAGAAAUAGGGAAGUCUGGAGUCGGAAGUGAUUUGUCUAUUUUUUGUUGUCGGAGAUGUAAGUUGCGGCCAGGAUUUCGGGGAAAAGGCGAAUCUGUCUCCUGGAAAUCAAGGAGAAAAAGACAACGUGGAGCGGUGGUGAGUGGAAUCCGUCCUAAAAAGCAUCCAGAUCCUCGGAGCAUGGGUGACUCCAACGCUGUUCAGUGGUCUUUGACCCACGUCUGUACCAUCAGUCACCACAAUCGUCCUCCUGUGCAGUGCUACUGUGGCCUUUUGUCAAUUGUAGCUUCAAUAAUCUGUUGAAACAAUGACUAUUGUUUAAAUGCAAAUUUACAGUCAUCUAAUCCAAACCCAGUGGGAACAAUGCUUUGCAUGGACAAUGCUGUCCCAUAUACAUGCUUAGCAUAACUUGUUUACACAAAGAACAG
ensembl:lncRNA